GGGACAGCUGCUUAAGCUUCAGGCCUUCCUCACCGACACACUGCUUGACCAGCUGCCCAACCUUGCUGAUCUGAAGAGUUUCCUGGCCCACCUGGCCCUGGUUGAAACUCAACCCCCUAAGAAGGACCUAGUGUUAGAACAGGUGAGCCCCUAGAAAUUGAGUGCUUGGGACCACGGUCCACUUUUCUGGUUCCUUCCUUCCUAUCUCCAUUACACUCUUUUAGAUCCCAGAAAUCUGGGAUCGGCUGGAGCGAGAGAACAAAGGCAAGUGGCAGGCUAUCGCCAAGCACCAGCUUCAGCACGUAUUCAGCCUCUCCGAGAAGGAUCUUCGCCAACAAGCACAGAGGUGGGCUGAAACCUACAGGCUGGACGUCCUAGAGGCUGUAGCUCCGGAGAGGCCCCGCUGUGCCUACUGCAGUGCCGAGGCCUCCAAGCGCUGCUCCAGAUGCCAGAAAGUGUGGUAUUGCUGCAGGGAGUGUCAAGUCAAGCACUGGGAGAAGCACGGAAAGACGUGUGUUCUAGCAGCCCAGGGUGACAGAGCCAAGUGAAGGCCAGUAGCUGCUGAGGGCCGACAGAAGAGUGCACCCAGAAUGUGACUCUGAGCUU
rnacentral:lncRNA from 1 species